CUUCCGCCGGCGACCGGCGCACGGGUGAGUAACACGUAUGCAACCUGCCCCUGUCAGGGGGACAACCCGCCGAAAGGCGGGCUAAACCCGCGUACAUGCCACCGGGGCAUCCCGGAGGCAGGAAAAGGCUUCGGCCGGACAGGGAUGGGCAUGCGGCGCAUUAGGCAGUAGGCGGGGUAACGGCCCACCUAACCGACGAUGCGUAGGGGUUCUGAGAGGAAGGUCCCCCACACUGGUACUGAGACACGGACCAGACUCCUACGGAAGGCAGCAG
rnacentral:rRNA from 1 species